ACCAGAGAAGUCCUGGAAAGGGGUCUUCUGUCACCCUCACCUAACGUGAUGGGGUUGACUCUGUGCUUCCACUGCAGGGGAUAUGGGUUCGAUCCCUGGUCGGGGAGUUAAGAUCCCACAAGCUGCAUAGUGUGGCCAAAAAAUAAAAGAAAAAAAUUUUAAAAUUAAAAAAA